AUUGAACGCUGGCGGCGUGCCUAACACAUGCAAGUCGAGCGGUAACAGGUGUAGCAAUACAUGCUGACGAGCGGCGGACGGGUGAGUAACGCUUGGGAAUCUGCCUAUUAGUGGGGGACAACCCGGGGAAACUCGGGCUAAUACCGCAUACGCUCUACGGAGGAAAGCCGGGGACCGCAAGGCCUGGCGCUAAUAGAUGAGCCCAAGUCGGAUUAGCUAGUUGGUAGGGUAANGGCCUACCAAGGCGACGAUCCGUAACUGGUCUGAGAGGACGACCAGUCACACCGGAACUGAGACACGGUCCGGACUCCUACGGGAGGCAGCAGUGGGGAAUAUUGGACAAUGGGCGAAAGCCUGAUCCAGCGACGCCGCGUGGGUGAAGAAGGCCUGCGGGUUGUAAAGCCCUUCAGUGGGGAAGAAAAGCCUCGACCUAACACGUCGGGGUCUUGACGUAACCCAUAGAAGAAGCACCGGCUAACUCUGUGCCA
rnacentral:rRNA from 1 species